AAGGAGUUCUACAUGAAAAGUUGCUGUAUCAAGCUGCAGUUAAAGGAAAUGCUGGCACGAGAAUUUGUUUAUUUAUCUACUGUUUUGAUGAGUCAACCUACUCAGCCUUGAUGAACACUUGCAAAGAGCUCAAUUAUACCAGUAAUGGACAUGUGAAAAUUUGAGAUCAUUGUUCAAGUCACCUAUCACCACUCUUGAUCUACGGUGGACGGUAGAAGCCUGUGGGUCGUUCUGCAGGCCAGCAGGGGCCGCUGACACACGGAUGAAGAUAAGAAUAAAUGAACAGGGAACCUUCAAGAGAAAUGGCGUGAUCUUGAAUAGUUGAUAUUGGAAAUUGAGCAGUUGGGAGUAGAGCACUAUAGGAAACCAUGAUGCUGAUUGUCAGUCAACUUACAGGAACAACUGCUAAUUCGUAUCUUCUGUGACAAUUCACACUCUUCCUCCAUCUGUGUGUCCUCUCCUGGGUUUUGGAAAACAUAACUUGAAGAUAUUAUCUAUCCUUACUAAAAUUUUACAAGAAAAAAAGAUCAAGGCAGCACAGAACAAAGGCUUGUAUUAUUGCAAAGACCUCACCAUUAAAUGCAGUGUGCUUACAACUACAGUGAAAGUUGGAAGCGUGAGACUGCCUUCCCUAGGAAGCAAACUUCUUAGCAUACCGAUCAGAACAGCUUCCUCUUUGUCUUCAAUAGAUCAAUAACACUAAAGCUUCCAAAGCAUCUAUGCAACAGAGGGCUCCAUUUCAGAAUUCACUCUUGGGUUGUCUUCAAACGCACCGGUCAAUACCUGCAACUCAUCAAUUUCUCAGGGAUUACCUACAGACGUGUUUCACCUGGGGCUGCACUCAGAACAUCACACGGAGCCGUCUGGAUGCCGUCCUCAAAUCUGGAAGACAGAAAAAAAACAUCAGCCCCACUUGCUGCUUCCUGGAGAGUUUGAGCGGAUUCUGAAAUGCGGUGCCUCUCACCAGAGCCAUUAACAAACAUGACAAAGCCAUGAAGAUAAAACCUUCGGAAACAAAGCAAAAGCUAAAAACUCAAAAAGAACUACUUCCGCUUUGAACAGUUUUGCUUAAGCUAUUGAUUGCCUUGGUGUGAGGUGUAAGUUUCUACUCCGUUCCAUUGUUUAGAGAGAGAUGACAAGGAAGUGAUCAGUUGUUUUCUGUGUGGACUUAACUGAACUCCAUUGAAUCACUAAGAGGAGUCUGCAGAGUGGGACACCUAAUACUCACUCUAUUAACUCCCUCUCAAGUAAGCCUUUCUAUUGAAUUCAAACUUUUGUGGGCAUCUUCGAGAAUUUACAACAUACAACCCUAUCUUUUACACUUGUGGAUCUGCUUGGAUCCUGUCAGCAAGAGUAUAAAGAACAAGAGAAAUACACUCAGACCUUCUCCAAGCAAGGAGGACAGAGUCAAAGUGACAAAGCACUGUUCAGUAAUUCGAACAUGUGCUGAACAGCUCAAUGAUGUCCUCACCUUACUGCACUGCGCUGGGACUGUCCUUGGUGUUCCAAUGGGUGAUCACAUGAAAACUGUCAUUUUGAUCAUUGGAAGAUAUUUGCCUAGUAAAUUCUGAUGUCAGGGUUCCCAAAUGCUUUUUCCUUGGUUCACAUUAGUGUUCCUGGCGCCACAGUUACAAGAGGGAGCAAAAAUGUAAAGGCAGAUGUUCUAGUCUCUAUAGCUAAGGUAACUGUACCAACCACUAAUUUGCAAUGACUAUCAACUCCACCGGGCUUUGUAUUUUGAAUCUAGCUUUUCACGAAAGGUCCUAAAACAGACAGCAUGGAAUUCUUAUUUUGUAGACACUGUGGCUGCUUCAGCUUCUUAUAAUACAAGAAAUAUAAUUGUGCACUUAAAACUUCAACAAUUUUUGAAUUGUUGAAAAAAACAGGCAAUUUC